AUUGAACGCUGGCGGCAUGCUUUACACAUGCAAGUCGAACGGCAGCGCGGGCUUCUGGCUGGCGGCGAGUUGCGAACGGGUGAGUAAUUCAUCGGUACGUGCCCUGCAGUUGGGAAUAGCCCGGCUUAGGCCGGAUUAAUACCGCAUACGACCUGAUGUUGAAAGCGGGGGACCGAAAGGCAACGAGGGUUUGGAGCGGACGAUGUCGGAUUAGCUAGUUGGUUUGGUAAGGGCUUACCAAGGCGACGAUCCGUAGCUGGUCUGAGAGGACGACCAGCCACACUGGGACUGAGACACGGUCCAGACUCCUACGGGAGGCAGCAGUGGGGAAUCUUCCACAAUGGGCGAAAGCUUGAUCCAGCCAUGCCGCGUGCGGGAAGAAGGCCUUCGGGUUGUAAACCGCUUUUGUUAGGGAAGAAAUCAUCUGGGCUAAUCCCCCGGGGGGAUGACGGUACCGGAAGAAUAAGCACCGGCUAACUACGUG
rnacentral:rRNA from 1 species